AAGUCGUAACAAGGUAACCGUAGGUGAACCUGCGGUUGGAUCAUUAACACAAAGUUGGUGUUUACUUGCUUGAUGCAAGCUCUUUAUCGGGGCUUGUAGCAGGAUGUAGUGAAAUAUCACCAUUUACACCUUUAUGUGCACCUAAUUUGGUAUGAUUUUGUAUGCUGGAUCAGCAGGAAUGCUGAUUUGGUUGCAAAUCAUAUCUUAUUAACCAAACCUAAGUGUAUCUUAUGUCUGAACUUUUUUGUAUAAAAACAAUUUACAAAACAA
rnacentral:misc_RNA from 1 species